rnacentral:lncRNA from 1 species
AGGAGAUGACGGACAGAAGAAACAGGGAGUUGGCUCGUGUGGAUUUUCCACCGUGGGGUCGAGUGUGCUCACUUGCUUUGGGGGACAGCGGAGAUGGGGAGAGUGAGAGGGGGCGGGAAGGGGGGACUGGUGCAGAGCAUGCAGCCCCGGAAGGUGGCCCCCUCCUCCCGCCUGCUCCCAGGAAGUGGCCGCAGGGUCUCCUCCAAAUUCCCAGCUGGCUUCUGGACGGGACGUGAAUGGCAUCCCUGUACCAUCUGCUUUGCCUUUCAUGAAAGCCUGAGCUCGUGCUCUCAUGUCAGCGGCCUGCUCCACGCCAUCGCGUUCUCCUAGGAAAAUAAACAGCACAAAGCGAAGCUGAGCUCGCCAUCACUGUGUCUCUGUCGCAUCAUUUCUCUGCCAUGUGCCUUGCACGCGCUGCUUUGCCAUUUCACGCCCGCGGUGGGUGUGGCCUGGGCUGCCGGGGCUGUGGCGAGCGGGGAUCGUGGUGGAAGCGGGCGGAAGAGGCAUCUUGCUCGAGUGUCCAGGGCCUGUUGGGCUGUGUCCAGGGCUGCUCACCCAGAAGGAAGGACCUUCUCAGGACAGCCCGGCCAGCGGCUGGCUCCCAGCCCCCAUCUGGCUGUGUACACCGGAACCUGCGCGCCCCCCUCUCCCUCCAGCCCCUUCUCCCAAAGCUGCCGCUCCCCUGGAAGGCCCUUCCGCUCGCCCAGCCGCUUCAUCCGGAGGCCCAGCAGCACCGUCUGUCCCUCACCCAUCAGCGUGGCCCUGGAGGGCUCCCCGGGGUCCGAGCAGAGGCGGGAGACCGAUGUGUCAGGGGCGGUCGGCGGGGCCUGCAUGGAUCAGCUCCGGCCCCGGGCCCAGCCCAAGGCGCGUGUGCGCCUGUCCCUCGGGCGGUUCCUGAGACGAGGCUGUUUGGCUUCCCCGGUCUUCGCCCGGCUGUCCCCAAAGUGUCCCGCUGUGUCCCACGGCAAGGUGCAGCCCCUGGGGGAUGCCAGCCGGCAGCUAUCACGACCGAGGCCCCGGAGAGCAGCCAACUUUUUCCAGAUCAAGAUGGACGUGCCCAUGGGAAGCGGGGCCUGUCUGAUGGACUCGGAGGACCCGGGCCCCGGAGCACGAGGUGACCAGGCCACAGAAAAGGAGGUCAUCUGCCCCUGGGAGAGCCCCGCAGAGGGCCACACUGGCUGAGCCUGGGGCCUUGGGCCAGGAAGUUGCUCCCACAGACUCUGCAGGAUGGGGCCACGGGACCCGCUGUCUCGGGGACCAGAGUGCACGAAGAUCACACGUGGGGGCCGGAGGGACAAGAUGGGUGGACUCUGCAGAAGAGCGCUCCGGGUGGGUGCCCCGUGGCCAGCCUUUCCCUUGCCCCCAUCUUUCCUCUUGUCAUCAGAAGAAAGGCAUGUGGACCAGAGGACUUGACUUGCUGCCUUAAAACCAAUAAAAGGUUACCUUGUCUAAGUGUUUUUGGAUCG